GAAACGCUGGGCGGCGUGCCUAAUGGCAUGCAAGUUCGAAGCGAGAGCGACCCGGUUGCUUGCACGUGGUCAAUCUAGUGGCGAAACGGGUGAGUAACACGCUGGGUAACCUGCCCAUCAGAGGGGGAUAACAUUCGGAAACGGAUGCUAAAACCGCAUAGGUCUUCGAACCGCAUGGUUUGAAGAGGAAAAGAGGCGCAAGCUUCUGCUGAUGGAUGGACCCGCGGUGCAUUAGCUAGUUGGUGAGGUAACGGCUCACCAAGGCCGUGAUGCAUAGCCGACCUGAGAGGGUGAUCGGCCAUUGCAUGGGACUGAGACACGGCCCAAACUCCUACGGGAGGCAGCAGUAGGGAAUCUUCCGCAAUGGACGCAAGUCUGACGGAGCAACGCCGCGUGGCAGAGUGAAGAAGGUUUUCGGAUCGUAAAACUCUGUUGUUAGAGAAGAACAAGCUAGAGUAACUGUUAGCGCCUUGACGGUAUCUAACCAGAAAGCCACGGCUAACUACGUGCCAGCAGCCGCGGUAAUACGUAGGUAGCGUUGUCCGGAUUUAUUGGGCGUAAAGCGAGCGCAGGCGGUUCCUUAAGUCUGAUGUGAAAGCCCCCGGCUCAACCGGGGAGGGUCAUUGGAAAACUGGGGAACUUGAGUGCAGAAGGAGGAGAGUGGAAUUCCAACUGAUGUGUAGGCGCGGUGAAAUGCGUAGAUAUAUGGAGGAACACCAGUCCAUUCUCAGUUCGGAGGCGAAGGCGACUCUCUGGUCUGUACGCUGAUCGAAAGCGUGGGUAGCAAACAGGAUUAGAUACCCUGGUAGUCCACGCCGUAAACGGGAUGAGUGCUAAGUGUUUGGAGGGUUUCCGCCCUUUCAGUGCUGCAGUUAACGCAUUUAGCCCCUCCGUUAAAGCCUGGAUUACCCCACCGCCCCGGGUUGAAACUUUCAAAGGGAAUUUACCGGGAAACCCCGCACAAGGCGGGUGGGAGAUCAUUGGGGGUUUAGAUUCAAAGCAACGCGAAGAACCUUACCAAGUCUUGACAUCCUUAGUGAGUGACCACUCUAGAGAGAGCUUUCCCUUCGGGGACAAAGUGACAGGUGGUGCAUGGUUGUCGUCAGCUCGUGUCGUGAGAUGUUGCUACGGUUAAGUCCCGCAACGAGCGCAACCCUUAUUACUAGUUGCCAGCAUUGAGUUGGGCACGGGUCUACUGCCGGUGACAAACCGGAGGAAGGUGGGGAUGACGUCAAAUCAUCAUGCCCCUUAUGACUUCUACACACGUGAAUGGAUGG
rnacentral:rRNA from 1 species